ACGGGUGAGUAAUGUCUGGGAAACUGCCUGAUGGAGGGGGAUAACUACUGGAAACGGUAGCUAAUACCGCAUAACGUCGCAAGACCAAAGAGGGGGACCUUCGGGCCUCUUGCCAUCAGAUGUGCCCAGAUGGGAUUAGCUAGUAGGUGGGGUAACGGCUCACCUAGGCGACGAUCCCUAGCUGGUCUGAGAGGAUGACCAGCCACACUGGAACUGAGACACGGUCCAGACUCCUACGGGAGGCAGCAGUGGGGAAUAUUGCACAAUGGGCGCAAGCCUGAUGCAGCCAUGCCGCGUGUAUGAAGAAGGCCUUCGGGUUGUAAAGUACUUUCAGCGGGGAGGAAGGUGUUGUGGUUAAUAACCGCAGCAAUUGACGUUACCCGCAGAAGAAGCACCGGCUAACUCCGUGCCAGCAGCCGCGGUAAUA
rnacentral:rRNA from 1 species